AAUAGAUACCCAGGUAGUCCAUGCCGUAAACGUUGGGCGCUAGAUGUGGGGACCAUUCCACGGUUUCCGUGUCGCAGCUAACGCAUUAAGCGCCCCGCCUGGGGAGUACGGCCGCAAGGCUAAAACUCAAAGGAAUUGACGGGGGCCCGCACAAGCGGCGGAGCAUGCGGAUUAAUUCGAUGCAACGCGAAGAACCUUACCAAGGCUUGACAUAUACGAGAACGCUCUAGAAAUAGAGAACUCUUUGGACACUCGUAUACAGGUGGUGCAUGGUUGUCGUCAGCUCGUGUCGUGAGAUGUUGGGUUAAGUCCCGCAACGAGCGCAACCCUCGUUCUAUGUUGCCAGCGGUUCGGCCGGGAACUCAUAGGAGACUGCCGGGGUCAACUCGGAGGAAGGUGGGGAUGACGUCAAAUCAUCAUGCCCCUUAUGUCUUGGGCUUCACGCAUGCUACAAUGGCCGGUACAAAGGGCUGCAAUCCGUAAGGUGGAGCGAAUCCCAAAAAGCCGGUCUCAGUUCGGAUUGAGGUCUGCAACUCG
rnacentral:rRNA from 1 species